rnacentral:rRNA from 1 species
AAACUGGGAUUAGAUACCCCACUAUGCCAGGCCAUAAACUUUGAACCCAUCCGCCCGAGCACUACGAGCUACAGCUUAAAACUCAAAGGACUUGGCGGUGCCCUAUACCCACCUAGAGGAGCCUGUUCUAUAAUUGAUAAUCCCCAAUAAACCUCACCGCCUCUCGUAAAUACAGCCUAUAUACCACCGUCACAAGCCCACCCCACAAAGGAAUAACAGCAGGCUAAACAAUUUAAAAUAAAAAAGUCAGGUCAAGGUGUAGCAUAUGAGUCGGAAAGAAAUGGGCUACAUUUUCUAUAAAGAAAAUUACGGAAUAUUUUAUGAAAUAUAAUAUGAAGGAGGAUUUAGCAGUAAAAAAAGAACAGAGAGCUCUUUUUAAAUUGGCAAUAGGACGAGCACACACCGCCCGUCACCCUCUUUAUAUAUACACUUAUAAUAAAUAAUAAAUUCUUUAACGCAGAAGAGGAAAGUCGUAACAUGG